GGAGGAUCAGGGAUUCUUCUUAGCCAGCAUGUAUAUGAUUUAUGCAGCAGAGAGGAGGCUGCAAGGGGAGAGGAACGGUGCAUUGAGGUUGAGGUACACAGGACACAUCGGGACCCGGGAGCUCGAGAAGAGGCUCGAUCGAUCUUGACAAGAACUGACUAUAUAUAGUGCAGAGAAGAUGAACCAUGCAAAAACUCAGGCUGGACCACCG